rnacentral:tRNA from 1 species
GGAGUUGUGGCUCAGUGGUAGAGCACUUGCCUGGCAUGUGUGAGGCCCUGGGUUCAAUCCUCAGCACUGCA